rnacentral:rRNA from 1 species
CCUACGGGGGGCUGCAGUAGGGAAUAUUGCGCAAUGGGGGAAACCCUGACGCAGCAACGCCGCGUGAGUGAGGAAGGUCUUCGGAUUGUAAAACUCUGUUCUUAGAGAAAAAUGUGCUUGGAGCUAAUACCCCAAGUAUUGAUGGUAUCUAAGGAGAAAGGACCGGCUAACUUCGUGCCAGCAGCCGCGGUAAUACGAAGGGUCCAAGCGUUGUUCGGAAUCAUUGGGCGUAAAGCGCGCGCAGGCGGAUCAGUAAGUCAGGUGUGAAAUCUCGG